CAGCCGCCGCGAUAAUUCGGAGGAUCCAAGCGUUAUCCGGAAUCAUUGGGUUUAAAGGGUCCGUAGGCGGUUUAAUAAGUCAGUGGUAAAAGCCCAUCGCUCAACGGUGGAACGGCCAUUGAUACUGUUAAACUUGAAUUAUUAGGAAGUAACUAGAAUAUGUAGUGUAGCGGUGAAAUGCUUAGAGAUUACAUGGAAUACCAAUUGCGAAGGCAGGUUACUACUAAUGGAUUGACGCUGAUGGACGAAAGCGUGGGUAGCGAACAGGAUUAGAUACCCUGGUAGUCCACGCCGUAAACGAUGGAUACUAGCUGUUGGGCGCAAGUUCAGUGGCUAAGCGAAAGUGAUAAGUAUCCCACCUGGCGUGUACGUUCGCAAGAAUGAAACUCAAAGGAAUUGA
rnacentral:rRNA from 1 species